UGACCCUACGGGAGGCAGCAGUGGGCAAUAUUGCACAAUGGGGGAAACCCUGAUGCAGCGACGCCGCGUGAGUGAAGAAGUAUUUCGGUAUGUAAAGCUCUAUCAGCAGGGAAGAAGAAGGACGGUACCUGAGUAAAAAGCCCCGGCUAAUUACGUGCCAGCAGCCGCGGUAAUACGUAGGGGGCAAGCGUUACCCGGAUUUACUGGGUGUAAAGGGAGCGUAGAGGGCGAAGAA
rnacentral:rRNA from 1 species